rnacentral:rRNA from 1 species
UACCAGCACCUCGAGUGGUCAGGACGUUUAUUGGGCCUAAAGCAUCCGUAGCCGGCUUUGCAAGUCUUCGGUUAAAUCCACCUGCUCAACAGAUGGGCCGCUGGAGAUACUACAAAGCUAGGGAGUGGGAGAGGCAGACGGUAUUCAGUGGGUAGGGGUAAAAUCCUCUGAUCCAUUGAGGACCACCAGUGGCGAAGGCGGUCUGCCAGAACACGUUCGACGGUGAGGGAUGAAAGCUGGGGGAGCAAACCGG